rnacentral:rRNA from 2 species
GGAGCCGACCUUGAAAUACCACCCUUUAAUGUUUGAUGUUCUAACGUGGAUCCGUAAUCCGGGUUGCGGACAGUGUCUGGUGGGUAGUUUGACUGGGGCGGUCUCCUCCUAAAGAGUAACGGAGGAGCACGAAGGUUGGCUAAUCCUGGUCGGACAUCAGGAGGUUAGUGCAAUGGCAUAAGCCAGCUUGACUGCGAGCGUGACGGCGCGAGCAGGUGCGAAAGCAGGUCAUAGUGAUCCGGUGGUUCUGAAUGGAAGGGCCAUCGCUCAACGGAUAAAAGGUACUCCGGGGAUAACAGGCUGAUACCGCCCAAGAGUUCAUAUCGACGGCGGUGUUUGGCACCUCGAUGUCGGCUCAUCACAUCCUGGGGCUGAAGUAGGUCCCAAGGGUAUGGCUGUUCGCCAUUUAAAGUGGUACGCGAGCUGGGUUUAGAACGUCGUGAGACAGUUCGGUCCCUAUCUGCCGUGGGCGCUGGAGAACUGAGGGGGGCUGCUCCUAGUACGAGAGGACCGGAGUGGACGCAUCACUGGUGUUCGGGUUGUCAUGCCAAUGGCACUGCCCGGUAGCUAAAUGCGGAAGAGAUAAGUGCUGAAAGCAUCUAAGCACGAAACUUGCCCCGA